GACGAACGCUGGCGGCGUGCUUAACACAUGCAAGUCGAACGGUGAAGCCUUAGCUUGCUUUGGUGGAUUAGUGGCGAACGGGUGAGUAACACGUGAGCAACGUGCCCAGGACUCUGGAAUAACCGCGGGAAACCGUGGCUAAUACCGGAUAGGUGCCGAGGCCGCAUGGUCUUCGGUUGGAAAGUUUUUGCGGUUCUGGAUCGGCUCACGGCCUAUCAGCUUGUUGGUGGGGUAAUGGCCUACCAAGGCGACGACGGGUAGCCGGCCUGAGAGGGUGACCGGCCACACUGGGACUGAGACACGGCCCAGACUCCUACGGGAGGCAGCAGUGGGGAAUAUUGCACAAUGGGCGCAAGCCUGAUGCAGCAACGCCGCGUGGGGGAUGACGGCCUUCGGGUUGUAAACCUCUUUUAGUAGGGAAGAAGCGCAAGUGACGGUACCUGCAGAAAAAGCACCGGCUAACUACGUG
rnacentral:rRNA from 1 species